UACUUGGUUGAUCCUGCCAAGGAAGCACACUUAGGUCAUAGAUUAAGCCAUGCAAGUGUUAGUUCAGGUAACGAAACUGCGAAUAGCUCAUUAAUACGCUCAGAAUCUAUUUGGCGGCGACCAACAGGUCUUAAAUGGAUAGCAGCAGCAACUCUGGUGCUAAUACAUGCGAUUGUUUCUCCAGAUGUGAAUUAUGGAGGAAAAGUUGACCUCAUCAGAGGCACGCCAUUCGACUGAGUGACCUAUCAGCUUGUACUUAGGGUCUUUACCUAGGUAGGCUAUCACGGGUAACGGGCGGUUACCGUCGGACUGCCGGAGAAGGCGCCUGAGAGAUAGCGACUAUAUCCACGGGUAGCAGCAGGCGCGAAACUUUCCCACUCGAGACUUUCGGAGGAGGUAAUGACCAGUUCCAUUGGUGCCUUUUGGUACUGUGGAUAGGGGUACGGUUUUCCACCGUACCGAAACCUAGCAGAGGGCCAGUCUGGUGCCAGCAGCUGCGGUAAUUCCAGCUCUGCGAGUUUGCUCCCAUAUUGUUGCAGUUAAAACGCCCGUAGUCUGAAUUGGCCAGCAAUGGUCGUACGUAUUUUUACGUUCACUGUGAACAAAUCAGGACGCUUAGAGUAUGGCCACAUGAAUGACUCAGCGCAGUAUGAAGUCUUUGUUUUCUUCC
rnacentral:rRNA from 1 species